AACGAACGCUGGCGGCAUGCUUAACACAUGCAAGUCGAACGCGGUCCUUCGGGACCGAGUGGCGCACGGGCGAGUAGCGCGUGGGAACCUGCCCUCUUGUGGGGGAUAACCGAGGGAAACCUCGGCUAAUACCGCAUAAGCCGAGAAAUCCGGGAAGAUUUAUCGCGAGAGGAGGGGCCCGCGUCGGAUUAGCUUGUUGGUGGGGUAACGGCCUACCAAGGCGAUGAUCCGUAGCUGGUCUGAGAGGAUGAUCAGCCACACUGGGACGUGAGACACGGCCCAGACUCCUACGGGAGGCAGCAGUGGGGAAUAUUGGACAAUGGGCGGCAAGCCUGAUCCAGCAAUGCCGCGUGAGUGAGGAAGGCCUUAGGGUUGUAAAGCUCUUGCACCGCGACGAUGAUGACGGUAGCGGGA
rnacentral:rRNA from 1 species